GUGGAAAAUGGGUUAUAGAGAUCUUUGUGAUCUCUCCACCGGCUCAGUGACUAAAAACAUGGCUCCUGCUGUUGCAGUUUUGGUGU